rnacentral:rRNA from 1 species
UUCGGCAUGGACGAAGUCUGACGGAGCACGCCGCGUGAGUGAUGAAGGUUUUCGGAUCGUAAAGCUCUGUUGUUAGGGAAGAACAAGUACCGUUCGAAUAGGGCGGUACCUUGACGGUACCUAACCAGAAAGCCACGGCUAACUACGUGCCAGCAGCCGCGGUAAUACGUAGGUGGCAAGCGUUGUCCGGAAUUAUUGGGCGUAAAGGGCUCGCAGGCGGUUUCUUAAGUCUGAUGUGAAAGCCCCCGGCUCAACCGGGGAGGGUCAUUGGAAACUGGGGAACUUGAGUGCAGAAGAGGAGAGUGGAAUUCCACGUGUAGCGGUGAAAUGCGUAGAGAUGUGGAGGAACACCAGUGGCGAAGGCGACUCUCUGGUCUGUAACUGACGCUGAGGAGCGAAAGCGUGGGGAGCGAACAGGAUUAGAUACCCUGGUAGUCCACGCCGUAAACGAUGAGUGCUAAGUGUUAGGGGGUUUCCGCCCCUUAGUGCUGCAGCUAACGCAUUAAGCACUCCGCCUGGGGAGUACGGUCGCAAGACUGAAACUCAAAGGAAUUGACGGGGGCCCGCACAAGCGGUGGAGCAUGUGGUUUAAUUCGAAGCAACGCGAAGAACCUUACCAGGUCUUGACAUCCUCUGACAAUCCUAGAGAUAGGACGUCCCCUUCGGGGGCAGAGUGACAGGUGGUGCAUGGUUGUCGUCAGCUCGUGUCGUGAGAUGUUGGGUUAAGUCCCGCAACGAGCGCAACCCUUGAUCUUAGUUGCCAGCAUUCAGUUGGGCACUCUAAGGUGACUGCCGGUGACAAACCGGAGGAAGGUGGGGAUGACGUCAAAUCAUCAUGCCCCUUAUGACCUGGGCUACACACGUGCUACAAUGGACAGAACAAAGGGCAGCGAAACCGCGAGGUUAAGCCAAUCCCACAAAUCUGUUCUCAGUUCGGAUCGCAGUCUGCAACUCGACUGCGUGAAGCUGGAAUCGCUAGUAAUCGCGGAUCAGCAUGCCGCGUGAAUACGUUCCCGGUCCUGUACACAUCUGUCUCGUCACACCACGAGAGUUGUACACCGAAGUCGGUGGAGGUUACAUUAGGAUCAGUCGCGAGUGGACAGAAUGGAUGGGGUGAGUCGUAACAAGCGUUACCGUAU